GUCCACGCCGUAAACGAUGGAUACUAGCUGUUGGGAGCAAUCUCAGUGGCUAAGCGAAAGUGAUAAGUAUCCCACCUGGGGAGUACGUUCGCAAGAAUGAAACUCAAAGGAAUUGACGGGGGCCCCGCACAAGCGGUGGAGCAUGUGGUUUAAUUCGAUGAUACGCGAGGAACCUUACCAAGGCUUAAAUGUAGAUUGACAGGACUGGAAACAGUUUUUUCUUCGGACAAUUUACAAGGUGCUGCAUGGUUGUCGU
rnacentral:rRNA from 1 species